AAUACGUACACACUGCUAAUGCACAAACCUGUCGCGUGCACUGUGUGAACACGUGUGUUGUAUUGUGCGCUGAUCUACAUGUAUAGGUGUACGCAUGCAUUCGUUGGUAAACGGAGGGAGAAGCGGACGCGUGUGUUGAGGCCUCGAACGAAGCGAAAAUGAGAGAGACACGCAAUCACGCGGCAGAUGUCACAUUACGUUUACCGCCGAUUGUCAAUUGUCACAAGUGGGAAGAUCGAACGAACGUUUUUCGAAUGCAACGUAGGAGGUACAUUCUCGUUUCAGGCGCCGACGGUGGUUGGCGAUGGGGUCGAGUCCGAACCGUGAAACAUACCCAUAGCAAGAUACAUGUAACCGGAAGAAGUGGGGGGAGAGAGAGAGAGAGAGAGAGAGAGAAAGAGAGAGAAAAAGAAGGAGAGAUAAAGGAGCAAAAACAUACACAUGGGAGCUGGGCGCGAGCUCUCGCAGAAGCAGACGUAAUCGUCGCGUGAAAAAGGAAAGUAACGUGGAGACAGACAGGCGACGGAUGGCCGUGUAAUAACGAAGAUUCGACGGCAACGGUUGGUAUUUGUCUGAUUCUUUUCUUAUUCUUUAUUUCCUAUCGUGACAAUGAAACAACUAUUGGAACCUCUUGACAAUGAGGCGCGGAAAAAAAUCGAAGCAACAAUCAUCGAACAUUGGCUACAUUCGUUGCGAAAUGGUGUGAGGCGGUUCGGACUGUGCGUGAACAUGAGUGAAAAGUAUGUACGAAUACGAUACGUCUAUAGAUAUCAUGUAGCUACGGCGCGCUCGCUGCAUAUAACACGCACCAACCAAUACUAGAGAGGAGGUGUAAGAGGUUCGUUGUUUACGUUUUAAUGUCCGGGUUAGAGGAUACACGGCAGACGUGUCCGAGUGAAAAUAAAAGAAAUCUCUUACUCUGCUC